GACGAACGCUGGCGGCGUGCUUAACACAUGCAAGUCGAACGGAAAGGCCCUGCUUUUGUGGGGUGCUCGAGUGGCGAACGGGUGAGUAACACGUGAGUAACCUGCCCUUGACUUUGGGAUAACUUCAGGAAACUGGGGCUAAUACCGGAUAGGAGCUCCUGCUGCAUGGUGGGGGUUGGAAAGUUUCGGCGGUUGGGGAUGGACUCGCGGCUUAUCAGCUUGUUGGUGGGGUAGUGGCUUACCAAGGCUUUGAUGGGUAGCCGGCCUGAGAGGGUGACCGGCCACAUUGGGACUGAGAUACGGCCCAGACUCCUACGGGAGGCAGCAGUGGGGAAUAUUGCACAAUGGGCGGAAGCCUGAUGCAGCGACGCCGCGUGCGGGAUGACGGCCUUCGGGUUGUAAACCGCUUUCGCCUGUGACGAAGCGUGAGUGACGGUAAUGGGUAAAGAAGCACCGGCUAACUACGUG
rnacentral:rRNA from 1 species